rnacentral:antisense_RNA from 1 species
ACCAGGAGCCCAUGUAUCGUAAAUACCUCCAAAGUACAUAGCUUUCCAUACUAAAAGCCAAGCACCAAAUCCUAACACAAUAAGGUGAAUACCUAAAAUAGUAGUCAUCUUAUUUUUAUCUUUCCA